GACGCUGGCGGCGUGCCUAACACAUGCAAGUCGAACGGUAACAGGACUUCGGUCGCUGACGAGUGGCGCACGGGUGAGUAACGCGUGGAUAUCUACCUAUGGGUGGGGGACAACUACGGGAAACCGUAGCUAAUACCGCAUACGACCUACGGGUGAAAGCGGGGGACCUUCGGGCCUCGCGCCGAUAGAUGAGUCCGCGUCUGAUUAGCUAGUUGGUAGRGUAAAGGCCUACCAAGGCGAUGAUCAGUAACUGGUUUGAGAGGAUGAUCAGUCACACUGGAACUGAGACACGGUCCAGACUCCUACGGGAGGCAGCAGUGGGGAAUUUUGCACAAUGGGCGCAAGCCUGAUGCAGCGACGCCGCGUGCGGGAAGAAGGCCUUAGGGUUGUAAACCGCUUUCAAUUGGGAAGAAGGGAUGAAGGUUAAUAACUUUCUGACUUGACGGUACCUUUAGAAGAAGCACCGGCUAAUUUCGUGCCAGCAGCCGCGGUAAUACGAAAGGUGCAAGCGUUGUUCGGAUUUACUGGGCGUAAAGAGAUCGUAGGUGGUUUGUUAAGUUGGAUGUGAAAUCCCGGGGCUCAACCUCGGAACUGCAUCCAAAACUGGCAGACUAGAGUUCGGGAGGGGUAAGCGGAAUUCCGUGUGUAGCAGUGAAAUGCGUAGAUAUACGGAGGAACACCAGAGGCGAAGGCGGCUUACUGGACCGAUACUGACACUGAGGAUCGAAAGCGUGGGUAGCAAACAGGAUUAGAUACCCUGGUAGUCCACGCCCUAAACGAUGUCAACUAGUCGUUGCGGGUAUUGACCCCUGCAGUGACGCAGCUAACGCAUUAAGUUGACCGCCUGGGGAGUACGGUCGCAAGA
rnacentral:rRNA from 1 species